rnacentral:tRNA from 1 species
GCCAGAGUGGCGGAAUGGCAUACGCAGCGGACUUAAAAUCCGCGGAUGGCAGCACCAUCGUGGGGGUUCGAGUCCCCCCUCUGGCACCA